AUUGAACGCUGGCGGCAUGCUUUACACAUGCAAGUCGAACGGUAACAGGCCUUCGGGUGCUGACGAGUGGCGAACGGGUGAGUAAUGCAUCGGAACGUACCCAGAGGUGGGGGAUAACGCAGCGAAAGCUGUGCUAAUACCGCAUGUGAUCUGAGGAUGAAAGCGGGGGACCGAGCAGCAAUGUUUGGCCUCGCGCCUUUGGAGCGGCCGAUGUCGGAUUAGCUAGUUGGUGGGGUAAAGGCCUACCAAGGCGACGAUCCGUAGCUGGUCUGAGAGGACGGCGAGCCACACUGGGAUUGAGACACGGCCCAGACUCCUACGGGAGGCAGCAGUGGGGAAUUUUGGACAAUGGGCGCAAGCCUGAUCCAGCAAUGCCGCGUGCGGGAAGAAGGCCUUCGGGUUGUAAACCGCUUUUGGCAGGAACGAAACGGUGUCCGCUAAUACCGGGCGCUAAUGACGGUACCUGCAGAAUAAGCACCGGCUAACUACGUG
rnacentral:rRNA from 1 species